rnacentral:rRNA from 1 species
UACAGAGGGGGCAAGCGUUGUUCGGAAUUACUGGGCGUAAAGGGCGCGUAGGCGGCCUUCUAAGUCGAACGUGAAAUCCCCGGGCUCAACCCGGGAACUGCGUCCGAUACUGGAAGGCUUGAAUCCGGGAGAGGGAUGCGGAAUUCCAGGUGUAGCGGUGAAAUGCGUAGAUAUCUGGAGGAACACCGGUGGCGAAGGCGGCAUCCUGGACCGGCAUUGACGCUGAGGCGCGAAAGCCAGGGGA